AGAGACUCAUAACAAGAAAACUCUGCAUGUUGGGCACAGACGCGAGUUGUAUCUUCCAUCUGCACUUGUUUGUAGCUGGGGAUGCAGAGCCCUGGGUGCAGAGGGCCAGCCGCACCGCCACGCACCAACUGGUGUCUCCAGGGGGUUGCACCAAUCGAUACUGCCACAAGCUGUGCAUGACAAGCAGCUCUGAGCCACCACCCCAUCAUCGGCAAGAGGAGCACAGUGGGGGCCUGGGUUCCAUCCCAGCAUCCAUCCCAGCACCGUGAAGGAAUGGGAACAGUUACAGCCCUGGGUGAGGCUGCACUGGGCCAUGAGCGUCAGUCCCUUCUGCGUUCCUGUCACAAUCUACCCUCGGCACAGAUGCAGAUGCGUUAGUAAGAAAGGAGCCUACCUGACUCACCGUUCUGGAGGCUGGGAGUCCAAGCAGGAUGGCAAAACUGGGAUCGAACUCGGGACCUUGUGCUUGUGAGGCACGUGGCAGAACCACUGAGCUACAUCCCGGCCCUGAUGUGGAGAUGAAGAUACAGCUGGCUGGAGCAUCCUGCAGAGGCCCUUGGUUCAGAAGCACUGGAGGAAGAAGAGCCGAAGGCCGUAAUGAAGAGGAGAAUCGGCAUCGAUAGGACACCGGCCCUUUCAGUGGUGAUGCCCGUCAGGGUGGACCCUGGCCGCCUGGCUCCAAGGCCAUCCGAGGUUUCCACUUCCUCCUCCAUGACACCUGGGCUCUCCAGAGCCUCCACGCUGGACCUGGACCACCCCUGGGUGGCUUCACAGCUGGCCGGGCUGGCUCAGGGGAGCAGGUGGCAAGGCCCCUGCCUCUGGGAUCCCAUGCCAGAUGUGGGCCAGAUGGCGGCCAGGCUGUGGACAGGGCCCUCCAUGGAGUGGCCUGCAGCUCUACCAGCCCAUGGGUCCAUCCUCCUUGUACCAGGCAUGUGCAGUGAGGUCCCCACUCUGGCCCAGUCAUGGCAGCCACAGCAGUUUGGGCCGAGAGCCCUGGGGAGGGGAUCCCUGGCUUUGCUGCUGUGGCCCACAUCUCACCUGCAGCUGAUGCCCUCG
rnacentral:lncRNA from 1 species